GACGGAGGGUGCGAGCGUUGUCCGGAAUCACUGGGCGUAAAGGGCGCGUAGGCGGUCUGCUAAGCGUGUGGUGAAAGCUCGGGGCUCAACCCCGAGUCGGCCAUGCGAACUGGUGGACUUGAGCACUGUAGAGGCAGGUGGAAUUCCGGGUGUAGCGGUGGAAUGCGUAGAGAUCCGGAAGAACACCAGUGGCGAAGGCGGCCUGCUGGGCAGUUGCUGACGCUGAGGCGCGACAGCGUGGGGAGCAAACAGG
rnacentral:rRNA from 1 species